rnacentral:lncRNA from 1 species
UUUUUCUGCAGAAAAUAGAAGAUCUCAGAAUCGCCCAAAACUUUUUCAGGAUUUUUAUGGAAAAAAUAAGAAAUACCAAAGCGAAGAACCACUGGAGGAGAGCCACCUAUGGGCCACGAGGCAACAGGGUGCGGCCACGCCAUGGCCGUGCCAUGUUGUGUGGUUGGGCCCAUGUGGCUCCGUCUUGCAUAAUUCCAACGCUGAAAAAUCCUAUAUAAAAAAAACCCUCCGAAAGUUAACCUAGAAAUUCUGCUCCGCUAUCACAACUCUCUAUAUCUCUCUAUAUCGAAAAAAUCCAUCUAGAGCCUUUUGAGUACCGUGCCGGAGCGGCGAAAUCAUCACCGGUGGCCAUCUCCAUCAUCCCGGCGGUGGCCAUGACGAGGAGGGAGUAGUUCACCCUCGGGGCUGAGGGUAUGUACCAGUAGCUAUGUGUUUGAUCUCUCUCUCUCUCUCUCUCUCGUGUUCUUGAUAUGUCCCAAUUUUGAUGUAUCACGGGCUUUGUUAAUAUAGUUGGAUCAUAUGGUGUUUGUCCCUUGCUAUCUUGUUAUCGUGAAUUUAAUCUUUCCCUUUGAGAUCUCGUUAUGUU